UACGUAGGUGGCAAGCGUUGUCCGGAAUUACUGGGUGUAAAGGGCGCGUAGGCGGUCUUUCAAGCCAGAAGUGAAAGGCUACGGCUCAACCGUAGUAAGCUUUUGGAACUGUAAGACUUGAGUGCAGGAGAGGAGAGUGGAAUUCCUAGUGUAGCGGUGAAAUGCGUAGAUAUUAGGAGGAACACCAGUAGCGAAGGCGGCUCUCUGGACUGUAACUGACGCUGAGGCACGAAAGCGUGGGGAGCAAACAGGAUUAGAUACCCUUGUAGU
rnacentral:rRNA from 1 species